CCCAUUGAGGACAAAUGGCUGCCAGCAGUCCUAGAAAUCGAUGGUCAUGCAUCCAGAUCCAGAGGAAAAGAGAAGGCCCUUCUCUCUGCUAAACUGGCUCACGUUGGCUCCGGACCCCCCGGAACAAAUCCUGUGGCUCUGAUUGGCAAGGCCUGGGCACAGGCUUGUGGAGAGUUUGUGAGGCCCUGAGGACCACACCAACACUCAAGUCAGUGGAUGCACAGCUAAUCUUCUGCUGAAAGAAAAAUGGAUUCUUAUUUCUCUUCAAGUAUCUCUGGCAACAACUGGGCGUGGGCAGGAACUUGCAUUUAUCUAAACAAAAACAGAAGAUGUACGACCUAUCUAAGCUCUUCUGGCCUACUCUUCUCUGAUGAUACCACUCCAUGGCAGGGGAUCCUGGUGAAGGAUAUAUUAUAUAUGGAUGCUUAGAACCUUGCGAUGAUUUUGGCCACCCUCGGUGAAUUAUGUCAUUAUGCUGUUCCUGGUUUCCCCUACAUAUACAAGAACACACCUCUUUUACUUUCCUCAUGGUGUGUAAAGACUAAGGUGAUGC